AAAGUUCACGUAUAAAACGACAU
rnacentral:snRNA from 1 species